AUUGAACGCUGGCGGCAUGCCUUACACAUGCAAGUCGAACGGUAACAGGUCUUCGGAUGCUGACGAGUGGCGAACGGGUGAGUAAUACAUCGGAACGUGCCCGAGAGUGGGGGACAACGAGGCGAAAGCUUUGCUAAUACCGCAUACGAUCGCAGGAUGAAAGCAGGGGACCGCAAGGCCGUGCGCUCACGCAGCGGCCGAUGGCAGAUUAGGUAGUUGGUGGGAUAAAAGCUUACCAAGCCGACGAUCUGUAGCUGGUCUGAGAGGACGACCAGCCACACUGGGACUGAGACACGGCCCAGACUCCUACGGGAGGCAGCAGUGGGGAAUUUUGGACAAUGGGCGCAAGCCUGAUCCAGCCAUGCCGCGUGCAGGAUGAAGGCCUUCGGGUUGUAAACUGCUUUUGUACGGAACGAAAAGACUUCUUCUAAUAAAGGGGGUCCAUGACGGUACCGUAAGAAUAAGCACCGGCUAACUACGUGCCAGCCGCCGCAGUAAGAC
rnacentral:rRNA from 1 species